AGUGUAUGGUUGUAUGGAGGAGCUUUGAGUCCAGAUUCUUUUCAUUCCAGCUAGGUGCCUACGGGAAGUUCAUCUAACCUGUGAAAGAUGUGGCCUCUUAACAAACACAUGUCUGGGUUGCUACUUGGUCCCAGUGUACAACAUGAGGACAGACAAUGUUUGAUAGACCUUGGCCCCCACUUGAACCCUGCAGUCUGCUCUUCCUUGGAAAGAAUCCCAUUUCAGACAGACACUUCUGGCAGAAGGUGCUGACAGACGUGGGAUGAGGCCGGAACUCGUGUCCUGUGACAAUCACCAGCUUUCUGAGGCCUACUCAUGUGUCUGUGCAGAAUGGCCACUUCUGGAUUCUGUUUUCAAAAAACAACAGUGACC
rnacentral:lncRNA from 1 species